UACGUAGGGUGCAAGCGUUGUCCGGAAUUAUUGGGCGUAAAGAGCUCGUAGGUGGCCUGUCGCGUCGGCUGUGAAGACUCGGGGCUCAACUCCGAGCUUGCAGUCGAUACGGGCAGGCUAGAGUUCGGCAGGGGAGGACUGGAAUUCCUGGUGUAGCGUGAAAUGCGCAGAUAUCAGGAGGAACACCGGUGGCGAAGGCGGGUCUCUGGGCCGAUACUGACACUGAGGAGCGAAAGCGUGGGGGAGCGAACAGG
rnacentral:rRNA from 1 species